CAGUAGCCGCGGUAAUACAGAGGGUGCGAGCGUUAAUCGGAUUUACUGGGCGUAAAGCGUGCGUAGGCGGCUUUUUAAGUCGGAUGUGAAAUCCCUGAGCUUAACUUAGGAAUUGCAUUCGAUACUGGGAAGCUAGAGUAUGGGAGAGGAUGGUAGAAUUCCAGGUGUAGCGGUGAAAUGCGUAGAGAUCUGGAGGAAUACCGAUGGAGAAGGCAGCCAUCUGGCCUAAUACUGACGCUGAGGUACGAAAGCAUGGGGAGCAAACAGGAUUAGAUACCCGUGUAGUCCCUGUCUCUUAUAC
rnacentral:rRNA from 1 species